UAAGAGUCACAAUGAUCAGCGUUCUAGUCAUUUUUCAGUUACUUUACUGGAUUCAAGGAGUUGCAGGGGGAAAUGAUGUCUCUCAGCCCAGUAUGCUCUGGGCUAAACUGGGCCAAUCAGCCACAAUGAACUGCUCACACACAAAGGGUUCAGGUUACGAUCGGAUGUACUGGUUCCGUCAGUAUCAAGGAGAGAGCAUGGAGCUCAUAGUGUACAGUCCCACCUAUAGCACUCCAGAUUUUGGAAAGUUCAACCAGAGUAAAUUUUCAGUCAAUAAAACAGUUGCUGAGAGAGGCUUCUUCACAGUGAAGGAUGUGGAUUAUAAUGACAUCGCUGUGUAUUUCUGUGCUGUGAGUGAACACAGUGUUAUAACCACAGGGCAGAGCUGUACAAAAACUCAGUCAGGAGCAAAAGUAAAUGAACCAAAGGGGGCAGUAUGA